rnacentral:lncRNA from 1 species
UAACCAUCUCACAAUUUUGCAGGCAUUUUAUCUGCAAAUUAACAUGUUAUAAGUGUGCAAAUAGCUCAUGUUCUUUGCUUUGAUGGCGGAAUGUCGAUAUGCCAAACAUAUAUAAAGUGCUUCCUGCUCUCUCUUGGGCUAAAUCACCCUGUUCAUUACAAUUCACAAUUUAGGUACAACUGCCAUGAGCCAAAAUGUGUAAGAAAAUUAAGAUAAACUAAUCAUACUUAACAUCGGUUGAAUCGCUUAAUAAUGAAAGUGAAAAAACAAAGCAUAAAUCAAAAGAUAUGUGACGAUACAUAUAACAACAAAACAUGUAAACAUUAAUCUCUAACUUCUUUAAUUGCGAGUGUAAUCUGUUAAUCUUUAUCAUACGAACUCAUCUUUCUAUUACUAUUAUACUCUAAAAUCUACUCAAUAAAAAGUUGAUUGGUUGAAGAACAGGUAGAAAAAAACUAGAGUUUCUCGUUGCAGAACAACUCCCAGCUUUUCUCUACAUCCUUAACAAGGAAAAAGAACUUUACCGAUGCCACCAACUCCCACGAUUGGUAUUCCAAACUCAUACCGCUUUGUCCUCGGAGAUCUUCCAUGAAUCUGUAACUUCGGCGUCGUCCUCCAAACUAGUGACUUGCAACGAUUGAUCACCUAGAGAGAGAUUCUGGCCAAAGAUCUACCAUCUCGUUCCCCGCAGAUGCCUUCAAACAGGCAUGAACACCUGCAUAAUCUGAAAGAAAGAGAAAGGAGUUUCUUCAAGUUUGCAGAGUCAGAUCUUCAGAUCUUGGAUGCAAGAGAGAAGGUUUCUGGGCAUCGAAAGGGCAUCUUUCGCAUUUAUUUUACAGUGUGCCCACUUUGGUGUUUAGUCGGCAUCUAGGGAUGCUUUUCUUUAAGUGGGGAUGUGCAAUCAACACAUGACAGUGAUACCUUUGCUGCCCGUCUUUUUCUAACUUUUUACCCCAC